GACGAACGCUGGCGGCGUGCCUAACACAUGCAAGUCGAGCGGAAAGGCCUGCUUCUCCUUGCGGUGUGCGGGGACUCGGGUGGCGAAGGGGUGAGUAACACGUGAGUGUUCUGCCCCCAACUUGCGUAGAAGCCUGGGAGACUGUGCCUAAUUACCUAUAGGACUGCAGGGUGGAGCCGGUGGUGGCGGUCGUGCUUCUAGUGGUUGGUGAUGAGCUCGCGGCUUAUCAGCUUGUUGGUGAGGCAAUGGCCUAACAAGGCGACGACGAGUAGCCGACGUGGGAGGGGGAGCGGGCACAGUGGAACUGAGACUCGGUCCAGACUCCUACGGCAGGCAGCAGCAGGGAAUCGGCCGCUAUGGGCGAAAGCCUGACGGAGAAGCGCCGCGUGAGUGAUGAAGGUCUUCGGAUCGUAAUACUCUGCUACUAUGGACGAACAUAUAUGUAAGUGACUGGGAAGGUCGUGACGGUACCUAAACAGAAAGCCACGGCUAACUACGUG
rnacentral:rRNA from 1 species